GCCCCUGUAGUGUAGCGGUCAUCACUGUGGAUUCAUAGCUUAUCGAGGUUCAACCUCGUAGUUAUACCCGCCAACCCCAGUUCGAUUCUGGGCAGAGGCA